rnacentral:rRNA from 1 species
CACGUGUUACAAUGGCAGGUACAGAGGGGUGCUACCGGGUGACCGGAUGCCGAUCUCGAAAACCUGUCCCAGUUCGGACUGGAGUCUGCAACCCGACUCCACGAAGUUGGAUUCGCUAGUAAUCGCGCAUCAGCCAUGGCGCGGUGAAUACGUUCCCGGGCCUUGUACACACCGCCCGUCAAGCCAUGGGAGCCGGGGGCGCCUGAAGUCCGGGACCGCGAGGACCGGCCUAGGGCGAAACUGGUGACUGGGGCUAAGUCGUAACAAGGUAGC